rnacentral:rRNA from 1 species
UUCCGUAGGUGAACCUGCGGAAGGAUCAUUAAUGGUUUUUGAUUCUAGUUGCUCU